UCUAUAUAUAUUAAUAAAGGAGAUGAUUUGGGCUAUUUGUCUUUGAAUGGUGGAGCCAUUUUGCUUAUGUGGCAUUUAUUGGUUUAGUAUAGGAUGAUUUUGGGAGGGAAUCCAUCUCAAUACACAAUUUUUCUUCUUGGACGCGGGAUCCGGUUGAGGAUUCGGGUCACCCAGUAAUAAAAACGGAUCCCUUAUAUUCUUUGAACGCUUUCUUCCUUCAGACAUAUUUGUACGCUUCUUUUCCUAAACCCUAGAGAGCCUUCGUCUCCAUUUCCAUUCUCCAACUGCAUUCGGGUUUAAAGCAUUUGCAUACGAACGAUUGAGUUAUGUCUAACCUUCCUAAUACCAAAUCCUCUUUCAAUUAUAUUCAUUCUUCCUAAUCGGUUUAAUCCUCCCCAUCGAUCUAUGGAUUUUAUUGUUGAUUCCAUCUACGAAAAUGCUGAUAGAAACAAAUUCCGGCGAAAGCUAGGGUUCUGGAAAAUUUAGUAGUGAUCUGAAGUCAUCGUCACUGAUUUUACUUAAGGAAUCGGUUUAGUUGAUGAAAAUGCCAAUAGAAACAGAUUCCGGCGAAAGCUAGGGUUCCGGCGAAGUUAAUAGUGAUCUGGAUUCGUCGUCACUGAUUUUGCUUAAGGAAACAGCAUGCUCUUCUCUAUUUGUUUAGUUGAUAAAAAUGCAGAUAGAAACAAAUUCCGGCGAGAGCUAGGGUUCCGGCGAAGUUAG
rnacentral:lncRNA from 1 species